rnacentral:rRNA from 1 species
ACCUGUGAGGGUUGCUGGAGGUAUCAGAAGUGCGAAUGCUGACAUAAGUAACGAUAAAGCGGGUGAAAAAGCCCGCUCGCCGGAAGACCAAGGGUUCCUGUCCAACGUUAAUCGGGGCAGGGUGAGUCGACCCCUAAGGCGAGGCCGAAAGGCGUAGUCGAUGGGAAACAGGUUAAUAUUCCUGUACUUGGUGUUACUGCGAAGGGGGGACGGAGAAGGCUAUGUUAGCCGGGCGACGGUUGUCCCGGUUUAAGCAUGUAGGCUGGUUAUCCAGGCAAAUCCGGAUAAUCAAGGCUGAGGUGUGAUGACGAGGCACUACGGUGCUGAAGUAACAAAUGCCCUGCUUCCAGGAAAAGCCUCUAAGCAUCAGGUAACAUCAAAUCGUACCCCAAACCGACACAGGUGGUCAGGUAGAGAAUACCAAGGCGCUUGAGAGAACUCGGGUGAAGGAACUAGGCAAAAUGGUGCCGUAACUUCGGGAGAAGGCACGCUGGUGUGUAGGUGAAGCCCCUGCGGGUGGAGCUGAGACCAGUCGAAGAUACCAGCUGGCUGCAACUGUUUAUUAAAAACACAGCACUGUGCAAACACGAAAGUGGACGUAUACGGUGUGACGCCUGCCCGGUGCCGGAAGGUUAAUUGAUGGGGUUAUCCGUAAGGAGAAGCUCUUGAUCGAAGCCCCGGUAAACGGCGGCCGUAACUAUAACGGUCCUAAGGUAGCGAAAUUCCUUGUCGGGUAAGUUCCGACCUGCACGAAUGGCGUAAUGAUGGCCAGGCUGUCUCCACCCGAGACUCAGUGAAAUUGAACUCGCUGUGAAGAUGCAGUGUACCCGCGGCAAGACGGAAAGACCCCGUGAACCUUUACUAUAGCUUGACACUGAACAUUGAGCCUUGAUGUGUAGGAUAGGUGGGAGGCUUUGAAGCGUGGACGCCAGUCUGCGUGGAGCCAACCUUGAAAUACCACCCUUUAAUGUUUGAUGUUCUAACGUUGGCCCCUGACCGGGGUUGCGGACAGUGUCUGGUGGGUAGUUUGACUGGGGCGGUCUCCUCCCAAAGCGUAACGGAGGAGCACGAAGGUUAGCUAAUCCUGGUCGGACAUCAGGAGGUUAGUGCAAUGGCAUAAGCUAGCUUGACUGCGAGCGUGACGGCGCGAGCAGGUGCGAAAGCAGGUCAUAGUGAUCCGGUGGUUCUGAAUGGAAGGGCCAUCGCUCAACGGAUAAAAGGUACUCCGGGGAUAACAGGCUGAUACCGCCCAAGAGUUCAUAUCGACGGCGGUGUUUGGCACCUCGAUGUCGGCUCAUCACAUCCUGGGGCUGAAGUAGGUCCCAAGGGUAUGGCUGUUCGCCAUUUAAAGUGGUACGCGAGCUGGGUUUAGAACGUCGUGAGACAGUUCGGUCCCUAUCUGCCGUGGGCGCUGGAGAAUUGAGGGGGGCUGCUCCUAGUACGAGAGGACCGGAGUGGACGCAUCACUGGUGUUCGGGUUGUCAUGCCAAUGGCACUGCCCGGUAGCUAAAUGCGGAAGAGAUAAGUGCUGAAAGCAUCUAAGCACGAAACUUGCCCCGAGAUGAGUUCUCCCUGAGACUUUAAGUCUCCUGAAGGAACGUUAAAGACGAUGACGUUGAUAGGCCGGGUGUGUAAGCGCAGCGAUGCGUUGAGCUAACCGGUACUAAUGAACCGUGAGGCUUAACCUUACAACGCCGAAG